rnacentral:rRNA from 1 species
CCCUUAGAUGUUCUGGGCCGCACGCGUGCUACACUGGUGACCGCAACGAGUUCUUUUCCUUGGCCGAUAGGUCCGGGUAAACUUGUCAAAGGUCACCGUGAUUGGGAUCGAUGAUUGCAAUUCUUCAUCGUGAACGAGGAAUGUUUAGUAAGUGCCAGUCAUCAACUGGCGUUGACUACGUCCCUGCCCUUUGUACACACCGCCCGUCGCUUCUACCGAUUGAACGCUCCGGUGAACUGCUGUGGACUGGCUGUCGGCUCUUCGGAGUCCGACGCUGGGAACGGCCGUAAAUCUAGGCGUUUAGAGGAAGAAGAAGUCGUAACA